rnacentral:rRNA from 1 species
CCUACGGGAGGCAGCAGUGGGGAAUAUUGCACAAUGGGGGAAACCCUGAUGCAGCGACGCCGCGUGAGUGAAGAAGUAUCUCGGUACGUAAAGCUCUAUCAGCAGGAAGGAUAAUGACGGUACCUGACCAAGAAGGCCAGGAUAACUACGUGCCAGCAGCCGCGGUACUACGUAGGGGGCAAGCGUUAUCCGGAUUAACUGGGUGUAAAGGGAGCGUAGACGGCAGCACAAGUCUGGAGUGAAAUCCCGGGGCUUAACUUCGGAACUGCUUUGGAAACUGUGCGGCUGGAGUGUAGACGGGGUAAGCGGAAUGCCUAGUGUAGCGGUGAAAUGCGUAGAUAUUAGGAGGAACACCGGUGGCGAAGGCGGCUUACUGGACUGUAACUGACGUUGAGGCACGAAAGCGUGGGGAGCAAACAGGAUUAGAUACCCCUGUAGUC